AGUGAACGCUGGCGGUAGGCCUAACACAUGCAAGUCGAACGGCAGCACAGUAAGAGCUUGCUCUUACGGGUGGCGAGUGGCGGACGGGUGCGGAAUACAUCGGAAUCUACUUUUUCGUGGGGGAUAACGUAGGGAACCUUACGCUAAUACCGCAUACGACCUACGGGUGAAAGCAGGGGAUCUUCGGACCUUGCGCGAUUGAAUGAGCCGAUGUCGGAUUAGCUAGUUGGCGGGGUAAAGGCCCACCAAGGCGACGAUCCGUAGCUGGUCUGAGAGGAUGAUCAGCCACACGGGACCUGAGACACGGUCCAGACUCCUAAGGGAGGCAGCAGUGGGGAAUAUUGGACAAUGGGCGAAAGCCUGAUCCAGCCAUACCGCGUGGGUGAAGAAGGCCUUCGGGUUGUAAAGCCCUUUUGUUGGGAAAGAAAAGCAGCAGGUUAAUACCCCGCUGUUCUGACGGUACCCAAAGAAUAAGCACCGGCUAACUUCGUG
rnacentral:rRNA from 1 species